ensembl:lncRNA
AAGCAGAACACCUCACAAAGUGCACGGCAGCACAAACAGGCGCUCUAUUUAUUGACUUAUGUAUAUAUAGUUUCCCCCCACACUUGCUAAAGUAUCUCUCUGCCUGUUUUUCACGUUGUGUGUUCUCUUUUUUUUUUCUUGCUCUUUCCUCCAUCUUGUUUUUCGUAAUUUAAGUGAAACACAGCUAACUCCAAUUUGGUUUCGGUGAAUUGCUAUGACAGAGUGGACUGCAGCUAUGGGGUACACUCAAUAUCCACUUUAAACUCUCGAGUAUUCUAACUAAAUUAAAAGGAGCUCACAUGCCUGGGAGCUGCAUCUCACGAAGAUAAAUGGAGAAAAUAAACGAUCGUGAUAUGCCUUCAUGUGGAUAUCCUUUUACUCAACAUAUGCACAGGAAAAGAAAAAUGCAUCAAGUUUCCCUGUUUCAGCAGGGGCUGGCUCAAUUAACCCCAUGGGUUUUCCAUCCAGUUUGAGAGUAAGCCCUGGAGGCACCCAAAGUGGCUCUAAACCCUAUUGCUGGUCAGACCAGUGGGAGCAUCAGCCAUCUGCCAAGGAAACAUCACACACAAAUCAAUGAUCAUUUCAGGAUCUGGAAGGUGUCAGAACUAGUCCAGGGAUCCCACUCACUGGAAUUCAAUGGUGGGGAUGGUCCCAUCCUGCAGCUCUGCUAGGGAGCAGGCACUCUAGUGGGGUUUUGGAGGGCAGGUAUCCCCAUAUUUAUUUGCAGCGCUUGCAAUCAAAGAAUUUGUCACAUUUCUUCAGAGAGGAAGCUGCUCCAGUUGUGAGACAGGGGGAUGAUUCACAGCUUUAUUUAGGCGCCGUUGUUUUCACAGCUAGUUCUGCAAGCAAUAUAUCAUCUUCUGGCUUAGUCGAGGCUACAUCCUCUUGCGUGAGGCAGCUCCGUUUGCCUCGCUCCAUGUUUUUGCCUGUCGAUGGGAGCAGAAAGUAAUUAAGCCAGAGGGUGGGAGCAUUUAGUUCCUUUUCCUCUUCAAACCAAUUCGUCUUCCUGAGCUGACCAGUUACAUUGUGCGCUGUGAUCUCUGUGCUGAUAGCAGCUCCAGUCGCUUGCAGAAACCUGUACCCGUCCCUCAGCAGAUAAUGAGUACCAGACUCUCAAAUGUCUGCUAAAAGAGGUGAAAAGAUGCUGCUGGCUUCCCGUCCCGCUGAGUGCUUGCAAUGCUGCAGGCAUCACGAGCAGAUUAGCCCUGGUCCGGAGAUGCGGCAUCACAGCGGGUCCUAACUGGUGGAAUCCCUAGUAAGAGCAGUGCGGAGCCAGCGCUGACAUCCUUGCGGUAAGGGGAGCACAUGCCUCAGGUUUGCCAGCCAAAUUAGAAUUAGUUAACAAUGCCAGUGUGGCAGAAGAACAGAGUGGCUGCUAUCGUAGAUGGAGAAACAAUAAUCCCUGCCGACCAAGAUGACAACUUUUCUUUGGAUCUGGCAUCAAGUAGAAGGUUCUUUUGAAAGAAAAAGAAAUAUCCUUUUUUUUUUUUAAGGGAAAAUUCAGGGGGGAAAGUCCCCCCACCACAUUAUUCUGGCUCUUUUUUAUUGCCACAGACUGUUUGGAUGAACUCAAAAAUACAUUUUUGGGUAGGAAAAAAGGUUCUGACAACAUUGUAGGUUUUUUUUAGCCUUCUAAUGGUGCUUUCACAAAUAUUACACCAUCCCAGCUUCUUCAUGAAAGUUUCUAGUUGAGAGCUGUGCUCUGAAAACACACAAAAUGUUCUUUUUUUCUGUGUUUAUAACAAGUGGAUAAGGCUAGAGCUGGCAAAAUGGCAAAGGAAUUUUAAUGCUGUAGAAAGAGUGGUGGGCCAUUAGCUUAAUGCCUCCACACAUCUCUCACUAGCUGGCUUUCAUCCUAUAGCCCUUCUUGCAUGCAUUCAGUAUGUCUCAACCAGUCUUCAAGUUUGCCAAUAAAACAUCAGUGGUGUUACUGUGUCUUUCUUUCAUGUCUAGAAGUCUUAAUAUACAUAUAUAUAUUCCUAGUUCCAAAAUAAUUCCACCUUCAGGAAAGUGAAAUAAUUAUUCUUGAGUUGCAGUUGUUACAAGGACUAUAGAAAAAAUAAUGACUGUCUGAGUUUUGAUGUUUUCACCUUAGAAACGUGGCGUGCAUCUUCCACUGUAACUGCAAGAGUAGAAAGAGAUGACAGGUUCAGUGAGACUUUUUCACCUACUCUGGAUUUUUAUCAUAAAGAUUAAUUUCUUGUUGUUCUCCAUCAAUAACUUCCUCUCCAGUGCUUCCCCUGUGUCUGAGUUGGAGAAUGAGACCACUUCAACAGGACACUCUUCCAUCAUUUCCCAAAGACAUUAUUUUUGCAGUCGGAUGAGUGUUGGCUUCCCAGUGAUGCCUCUACGGACAACAGCAUUCUGUCAGACUGACCUCUCAUACAGCGUUUGAUAGUGUGAUAUAAGUGUGCUGAGGAAGACAAGAAGAUGAUCUCCAGUUGAAGGCACACAAACUCCUAGCCGAUUUUAACAGGAUUGAACCCAGACAUCGUUUUUGCUGCACAACUGCACAACUUCAAAUUGGUUUUACAAUUCAAGGCUCUCUCUUCCAUAGUUAGUAAUUAUUACUUGUCAAGGUUCAUUAAUAUCUCUGCCCCAUACAUUACGCAAGAAACAUCAUUAUAGCAAGACCUUACCCCAUGUCAUUAGCAGGAACUUUUGUAUUUAAUGUUGAGAAUGACUCAAGUGAAGUGCUGCUUUCUCUGACCUGUCAUAAAUAAAGAACCAUUAUAAUUAAAAGCCCAGGCUUGAUUUAUACAGGCUGUUUGCUCAGGCUGCCAGGAUUGAACCUCUUAAUGUCUAUUGUUACCAAGGGAUUUUGGUGAGAGUUGAUCUAGUUUAAUCAAAUACUUACCACUUCUAAUAAGUUUUAGAAAUGUAGCAAGAAACAAAAACAAUCCUG